GGUAAUUCAUUCCGAAGUCAUCAUGUAGUGACAUUAACACGGUCGUCGAGAGGCAAACCUAUGAUGGUUCAUUUGGGGUACACUUACUCUAAAGAGAAAAAGUUAAAGCGAGAACAUGACGUCAGAGAGAGGUGGCACUGUUCCACUCACCAUAGCAAGGGAUGUCGAGCGGUUCUCAUAUCUGUCAACGGUGCUGUCUGUAACAUAAACGGAACGCACAACCAUAUUGCCAGUAACAGAUUUUUGAAUUAACCUUCGUCUGAACAACAUUUCGAGUUUAAUUCUAAGGACUGAGGUUAAGAAUUCAAAGAGUUGAGAAAAAUGGACUUAGAAUAAAAAGAAUAAAAGAAUCUUUACGAAACGUAUUGUUAGAAUGUCCAUCAUAAAAUAGUGGCUCUGGAGGAAACUUGAAGUAGAAUAAUUAGAUUUAAAUGUAGACAAAAAAGUCUUUUUAUAACCUGUACAUAAUCAAUAAUAGAACUUGAAAUAGAGCCAUGAUACCUUUUUGUAGGACUACUCAGUACUGUUGAAUUAUAAAUGUGGUGGUAGUACCACGAUAGAGGAGGAAUACGUAUAUACAGCAAGUUCUAUUGCUUCAUCUGAAUAUACAUUGAAACUACCAAACCCCACCACUUAUAAUACGCCAAGUUUAUAACAUCCCAAAAAGGAAAUACUUUAGUUUUAUAUCAGGGAUAUAAAUACUCCAUAAAAAGGAUCUUUAACAAUCGAGGUACCGUUAUCAGAACGUGGCGUUGUUCAACACAUCAUU